rnacentral:rRNA from 1 species
GUCGAGAAUCUUUCACAAUGGGGGCAACCCUGAUGGAGCGACGCCGCGUGGAGGAUAAGGUCUUCGGAUUGUAAACUCCUGUCAUGCGUGAACAAGGUUGCUUGGAUAAUACCUGAGCAAAUUGAUGGUAGCGCAAGAGGAAGAGACGGCUAACUCUGUGCCAGCAGCCGCGGUAAUACAGAGGUCUCAAGCGUUGUUCGGAAUCACUGGGCGUAAAGGGUGCGUAGGUGGCGUGGCAAGUCAGAUGUGAAAGCCCGGGGCUCAACCUCGGAACUGCAUCCGAUACUGCCAUGCUAGAGUACUGGAGAGGUGACUAGAAUUCUCGGUGUAGCAGUGAAAUGCGUAGAUAUCGAGAGGAAUACCAAAGGCGUAGGCAGGUCACUGGACAGUUACUGACACUGAGGCACGAAGGCCAGGGGAGCGAACGGGAUUAGAUACCCUAGUAGUCC